GUGGGGAAUAUUGGGCAAUGGGGGCAACCCUGACCCAGCAACGCCGCGUGAGGGAAGAAGGUUUUCGGAUUGUAAACCUCUGUCCUAUGGGAAGAAGGAAGUGACGGUACCAUAGGAGGAAGCCCCGGCUAACUACGUGCCAGCAGCCGCGGUAAUACGUAGGGGGCGAGCGUUGUCCGGAAUUACUGGGCGUAAAGGGUGUGCAGGUGGCCUGACAAGUCAGAUGUGAAAUACCGAUGCUUAACGUCGGGGUUGCAUUUGAAACUAUGAGGCUGGAGUGCAGGAGAGGGAAGCGGAAUUCCUAGUGUAGCGGUGAAAUGCAUAGAUAUUAGGAGGAACACCAGUGGCGAAGGCGGCUUUCUGGACUGUAACUGACACUGAGGCACGAAAGCGUGGGGAGCAAACAGGAUUAGAAACCCGAGUAGUCC
rnacentral:rRNA from 1 species